AGUUGUUUUACUUACCUUCCACUGGCACUUCUACAGCCAGGCUGCCAGCAGGAGACCACAUAUAAAGCUUAUUGGUACCGGUACACAGGGACAGACGGGGCUGCAGAGGGUCCCACUCAACACCUGACAAUUAAGAUUUCAUCACCAUUUCUUGUGUACAUAUAUCUGCAAUCACAGCUGAAGGCCAGCAUGCCCACACCAAGUUUUGGGUUGGCCCGAUUGGUGUCCGGUUUGACAACAGGAAUGUUUACAGGGGAAUGGUCUACCUCAUCUGAUCAGAAAUCAUUAGAAAAAAGACAAAGAUAAUGCAACGAAAACUGCAGCUUGGAAAUCUAUAACAUGAUAACAAUUUAAAUUGUGACAAUCAAUCAAUUUCAUGACAGAAUGUUAAUGUCAUCUGUAAAUAUUAUCAGAUCA